rnacentral:lncRNA from 1 species
UUUGGCCUGGCUUCUUGCAGUAAAAGGGAGCUGACCUGGAGGUAGCUUAACCAGGGACCGGACUAGUAAUAGUCCCUGUGUUUGAAUUGUAAGCCCAGGUGUACUUUGGGGCCCACUCUAAGAGAGCUUCAUGUCAGGGUUCCCCUAAAAGGAACUGAGAAGGGGUGUUUGCUGGGAGCCUUUGGCUCCUCAUGAAGCUGCUGGUGAUUGGUUGCUAGACUUGCACCUGCAGUGUGGGCUUUUCACAGUGAGGGUGUAACUUGGCCCAGUUGUGACUAGCUUGUUCUUCCUUUUCACUGGGAUUCUGGUGACAAUCAUUUGAACACAGUUGUAUUCCCCUCCACCCCACCCUUGCACCUCAACCAUGGACUGAUUUAGAAAACAAUUCCUGUUCCUUCCUAGGGAUGGUCAGAUGUGCCCCAUUCUGUUCCCGAUUGCAUGAACCAUCUCCUGGGCUGCUGGUUGUUUUCAAGAAGGUAGCUGAAAGUAUUUCUGGAGGAGAUAGCUGCUUCGUCAACAGGCUCCUGGAAGCCCGGAGAAGUAUGAGAGAUGUCCUCUGCCAUUUCACACCGCAGAGACGUAGUGACUUGCAUAUUCCAGGGACUGGUGUAAUCCAGGGACUGUUGUGACUGCCUUUGAUGUCCUUGGUACAGUUCCUCUCUCCUCCUCAUCACCUCACCCAGUAGCUGGUGCGUAGUGGCUGGCAUUCCAACAGUGACUCGUGACUUGAAAAUCAGGCAAAUGACAUUAAAACAUUUGUUUGCUUUUACAAUUAAAUGGAGACAUUAUUACCACAUUCCCUUCCUUCCCUGUUCUGUGGCCUGUAUGCCUAUGGUGUGUGUGUGUGUGUGUGUGUGUGUGUGCAUGCGUGCGUGUGUGUGUAGGCAGACAUGCUGAAAUCAUUCUAAGUAUUUUCUAUGAUAUUAUGCAUUACAUCUGCAUUUUUGGGUACUUUUGACAUUUUUCCCCUAAGCGAUGAAAAGGGCAAGAAGUGUGUGUAUAGGGGAUAGAAAGUUAGCCUAACCUACAAGGAAGUAGAACCCUUUCUGGGACACAAAGGAAUUUAGAUUCUUCUUUGUCUUUUAGAGAGGACUCAGUGUUCCUUUAUAUGUAGGGUCCAAAGCACACAACAAAGAGUCAAGACUUGGUGCUCUUCAGGUCAGACUUGGCUCUGUCUCUGAAGAUUUCCACAAAAC